rnacentral:ncRNA from 1 species
CAGACAUUUGGUUCAUGUGCUUGGCUGUAAGCCAAUGGUGCGAAGCUACCAUCUGAGGGAUUAUGACUGAACGCCUCUAAGUCAGAAUCCCGCCUGGAAAGCGACGAUGCAUUCGUGCCUCGGCCUCGAGAGGCGUAGCUAGACGGCCGUGUGGCCGUGGAAAGAGCCCGAUUCCGACCCGAGAGGCCGCGGCAAGAGGCGGCCUCGAAGUCGGUGGAUCCUCCUGCUCGAAAGGCGGGGUGCUAAACCAUUCGCAGACGACCUAGUUGAAGAUCGGGGUGUCGUGAUCACUAGAGCAGUACAUCUCACUGCGAUUUGUUGAGAGUAAGCCUCAAGAUCUGUCGGUUUGU